AGUGAACGCUGGCGGUAGGCCUAACACAUGCAAGUCGAACGGCAGCACAGGAGAGCUUGCUCUCUGGGUGGCGAGUGGCGGACGGGUGAGGAAUACAUCGGAAUCUACUCUGUCGUGGGGGAUAACGUAGGGAAACUUACGCUAAUACCGCAUACGACCUACGGGUGAAAGCAGGGGACCUUCGGGCCUUGCGCGAUUGCAUGAGCCGAUGUCGGAUGAGCUAGUUGGCGGGGUAAAGGCCCACCAAGGCGACGAUCCGUAGCUGGUCUGAGAGGAUGAUCAGCCACACUGGAACUGAGACACGGUCCAGACUCCUACGGGAGGCAGCAGUGGGGAAUAUUGGACAAUGGGCGCAAGCCUGAUCCAGCCAUACCGCGUGGGUGAAGAAGGCCUUCGGGUUGUAAAGCCCUUUUGUUGGGAAAGAAAUCCAGCUGGCUAAUACCCGGUUGGGAUGACGGUACCCAAAGAAUAAGCACCGGCUAACUUCGUGCCAGCCGCCGCGGUAA
rnacentral:rRNA from 1 species